CCCUAUGGGGUGCCAUCACAGCAAUUUCGCAUGGAAUGACUGUAUAUGAUUUUUCGGUAUCGGUGUACCCGUCAAGCCGGGCAAAUGCGUUUUCCAUCAGAUGCCUGAAGGAUUGAAGAAAAGAAAUCAUAAAUAGUAUGGUUUAUUCUGAUUGUACGGUGGAUGGUUUUCCAUGAGAAGCCGGAGUCUUCGCAGGGAUAUUUACAAAUUGGCACAUUGGCUGGUAUCCUGGAAUAAUAUUCAAUAUCGUUUUGCCUAUUGGUUUGCCAACUUUCUCUAUUGUAAAAUGUGGAGGCAUUAGCGGAUUCAGCAUUUCCGAUUCUGAUGGGAAUGUUUGAUUUGACUCAAAAAGAACGAAAAUAUAGGAUGACUUUUUAAAGAAUUCACCGAAUGGUACGGGAUAAUGAAUUGGCGGGAGAGC
rnacentral:rRNA from 1 species